rnacentral:rRNA from 1 species
AAGGAUUUAAAGUUAUUAAACUUGAGUAGUAAUAGUUAUGAUCUUGAAACUUAAAGAAUUUGGCGGUGUUUUAGUCUAUUUAGAGGAAUCUGUCCCGUAAUCGAUAGUCCGCGUUGAACUUUACUUGAUUUAUGAAUUUGUAUACCGCCGUUUUAUGAAGAUCUUUUUAGGGUAAAUUUUCUUGAAUUUUAAUUAUAAAGUAUUUCAGGUCAAGGUGCAGUUUAUGAUUAAGGGGUGAUGGAUUACAAUAUAAUAAUGUAUAUGAAUUAUAAUUUGUAAAUUUUAUAUGAAGGUGGAUUUAAUAGUAAUAUUUUAUAGAUUGUAAAUAUGAUUUUAGCUCUAAAAUGUGC